rnacentral:sRNA from 1 species
AUGUGUGCACAUGCACUUGCAUGCAUCCGCCAAUACAUGUUCUACAACCUGCAUCAAACAUUUCUGUUGAUGGGUAGGUGAAAACAAGCCUGUGUAAAGACCAGAAGACCAAGCCCAUGUAAAGACCAGAAGACCAAGUUAUUAAAGGCAUUUGUAAUAGUACUAUUUCUUUCCUACAAAUAAAACAACAGGUCACUUUUUUGAUACAAGAAAUAGCUCUACAUAUUUGCUCCCUCUACAGAAUCAUCUUGAUCUUGAUAUUUCUAAAGUUCCCCUGGACCUUCCCAUAUUAUAGUUCUUUAGUGGCUUUUAUCUGGAAUGACAUCAGAGUUCCCCUGGUUGUACAUGGCAGGUCCCAUUCUCCAUGUUGAUCUCUCGCUUUCUCUUUUAGUUGAAGCUCAUGUCCUCUUGAUUUGGCCUGCAACAUGGCUUUCAACUUAGCCAUUUAUUUACAGUCUAAAACCCACUGGUGGCUUCUUUAACGCCCCACGAAAGGGGUGUACCAACACCAGAGAUGUUGUAACCUCAGCUCAUGGAAUAUAUGGUGCAAGCUCCGAUCCCAUCUUCCAGAUCCCCAAUCUGUUUGCUCUAUUGUCCUCAGAUAGAGGGCACAUCAAAUAUUAAACUGGUUCUUAAGACGCAGCUUAAUCGGUCAGAACAAGGACUUACCCACGUUCCCAGCCAGCAGUAUCCUGCAGCACGAGUCCGUGUACA